rnacentral:tRNA from 1 species
GCGCCUGUAGCUCAGGGGAUAGAGCAUUGGUCUUCGAAACCAAGGGUCGUGGGUUCGAAUCCCUCCAGGCGCA